rnacentral:rRNA from 1 species
GACGAACGCUGGCGGCGUGCUUAACACAUGCAAGUCGAACGGAAAGGCCAUGCAUUUGUGGGGUGCCCGAGUGGCGAACGGGUGUGUAACCCGAGAGUAACCUAACCUUUACUUUGGGAUAACUUCAGGAAACUGUGGCUACUACCGGAUAGGAGCUCCUGCUGCAUGGAUUGGGUUGGAAAGUUUCGGUGGAUGGGGAUGGACUCGCGGCUUAUCAGCUUGUUGGUGGGGUAGAGGCUUACCAAGGCUUUGACGGGUAGCCGGCCUGAGAGGGUGACCGGCCACAUUGGGACUGAGAUGAGGCCCAGACUCCUACGGGAGGCAGGAGUGGGGAAUAUUGCACAAUGCGCGGAAGCCUGAUGCAGCAACGCCGCGUGCGGGAUGACGUCCUGCGGGUUGUAAAGCGCUUCCGUCUGUGACGAAGCGUGAGUGACGGUAAUGGGUAAAGAAGCACCGGCUAACUACGUG